AGAGUUUGAUCAUGGCUCAGAUUGAACGCUGGCGGCAGGCCUAACACAUGCAAGUCGAACGGUAACAGGAAGCAGCUUGCUGCUUCGCUGACGAGUGGCGGACGGGUGAGUAAUGUCUGGGAAACUGCCUGAUGGAGGGGGAUAACUACUGGAAACGGUAGCUAAUACCGCAUAACGUCGCAAGACCAAAGAGGGGGACCUUCGGGCCUCUUGCCAUCGGAUGUGCCCAGAUGGGAUUAGCUUGUUGGUGGGGUAACGGCUCACCAAGGCGACGAUCCCUAGCUGGUCUGAGAGGAUGACCAGCCACACUGGAACUGAGACACGGUCCAGACUCCUACGGGAGGCAGCAGUGGGGAAUAUUGCACAAUGGGCGCAAGCCUGAUGCAGCCAUGCCGCGUGUAUGAAGAAGGCCGUUCGGGUUGUAAAGUACUUUCAGGCGGGGAGGAAGGGAGUAAAGUUAAUACCUUUGCUCAUUGACGUUACCCGCAGAAGAAGCACCGGCUAACUCCGUGCCAGCAGCCGCGGUAAUACGGAGGGUGCAAGCGUUAAUCGGAAUUACUGGGCGUAAAGCGCACGCAGGCGGUUUGUUAAGUCAGAUGUGAAAUCCCCGGGCUCAACCUGGGAACUGCAUCUGAUACUGGCAAGCUUGAGUCUCGUAGAGGGGGGUAGAAUUCCAGGUGUAGCGGUGAAAUGCGUAGAGAUCUGGAGGAAUACCGGUGGCGAAGGCGGCCCCCUGGACGAAGACUGACGCUCAGGUGCGAAAGCGUGGGGAGCAAACAGGAUUAGAUACCCUGGUAGUCCACGCCGUAAACGAUGUCGACUUGGAGGUUGUGCCCUUGAGGCGUGGCUUCCGGAGCUAACGCGUUAAGUCGACCGCCUGGGGAGUACGGCCGCAAGGUUAAAACUCAAAUGAAUUGACGGGGGCCCGCACAAGCGGUGGAGCAUGUGGUUUAAUUCGAUGCAACGCGAAGAACCUUACCUGGUCUUGACAUCCACGGAAGUUUUCAGAGAUGAGAAUGUGCCUUCGGGAACCGUGAGACAGGUGCUGCAUGGCUGUCGUCAGCUCGUGUUGUGAAAUGUUGGGUUAAGUCCCGCAACGAGCGCAACCCUUAUCCUUUGUUGCCAGCGGUCCGGCCGGGAACUCAAAGGAGACUGCCAGUGAUAAACUGGAGGAAGGUGGGGAUGACGUCAAGUCAUCAUGGCCCUUACGACCAGGGCUACACACGAGCUACAAUGGCGCAUACAAAGAGAAGCGACCUCGCAAGAGCAAGCGGACCUCAUAAAGUGCGUCGUAGUCCGGAUUGGAGUCUGCAACUCGACUCCAUGAAGUCGGAAUCGCUAGUAAUCGUGGAUCAGAAUGCCACGGUGAAUACGUUCCCGGGCCUUGUACACACCGCCCGUCACACCAUGGGAGUGGGUUGCAAAAGAAGUAGGUAGCUUAACCUUCGGGAGGGCGCUUACCACUUUGUGAUUCAUGACUGGGGUGAAGUCGUAACAAGGUAACCGUAGGGGAACCUGCGGUUGGAUCACCU
rnacentral:rRNA from 1 species